AGUGGUGGGGGCUCAUUAAGGCUCAUUAAGUGGUGGGGGCUCAUUAGGGCUCGUUAGGAGGUAGUGGAGGAGCUUGUGGGCUCAUUAAGCAGUGGGGACUCAUUAAGGCUCAUUAGCAGGUGAGGAAGGACCUGAUGGGGCUCGUUAGGUCCUGGAGAGCCUCAUCUGGGGGUUCUUGUGUGGUGGGCUCGUUAAUUAAGGCUCAUUAAGGCUGAUGAGGUGAUGAGGGACCUGUGGGGGCUCUUUAAUGGGGGGACCCAGAUCUUGGGAGCUGGAGACUCAUUAAGGGUCAUUAAUUAGUGGGACUCUGAUCUUGGGGGGUCAUUAGGUUGUUGGGGGCUCGUUAAGGGUUGUUAAUUAGCAGGACCCAAGUUUUGGGGUUCGUUAGGCUGUGGGGGCCUAUUAAGGGUUGUUAAUUAGUGGGACCCGGGUUUUGGGGCUCAUUAAGGUUCGUUGGGUGAUGGGGGACCCUGGGGUGGAGUUUAAUGAGCUUAAUGAGGUCACUGAGGUUAAUGAGGUUAAUGGGGCCCAUGGGAUUAACAAGAUCAAUGGGUUAAUGAGCUUAAUGACCUUAAUGAGGUCAAUGGGUUAAUGAUUUUAAUGAAGUCAGGGGGGUUAAUGGGGUUAAUGAGGUUCAUGGCACUAAUGGGGUUAAUGAGGUUAAUGAGGUCAGUGGGUUAAUGAGGUUAAUGAGGUCGAUGGGUUGGGGAUAAUGAGGUUAAUGAGGUCAAUGGGUUAAUGAGGUCAGUGGGGUUAAUGAGGUCAGUGGGUUAAUGAGGUCAACGAGGUCGAUGGGUUGGGGUUAAUGAGGUUAAUGAGGUCAGUGGGUUAAUGAGGUUAACGAGGUCAGUGAGUUUAAUGAAGGAGCUCCCUGGGGGUCCCGGACCCUUCCUGGGGCAUCCCCUCCCCCCCUCCCUCCCCCCGGCCCCUCCCCCUCCCGCGGGGCGGGGCCGAUGUACAGAUUUUAUAGGGGGGAGGGGCCGGCGCGUUUUUAAUUAACGGCGAUUUCGGGGCUAAUAAAGGAGGAUUUGGUUAA